rnacentral:lncRNA from 1 species
AAAAAAACAAAACAAAACAAAAAAAGAGUCUCAAAGUGAUGAUAAAAAAGAAUGAAAAUUGAAGUUCAAGAAGAGCAAAGUGCUCAAAAAGUCAAAUAGUUGAUGCAAUGCCUAGAUGAUAACCCUUGUUUCAAAAAAAAUAGCCAAAAAACAUUCAUUUGGACCUUCAUAUCUUUUUUUCAAAUACCUUUUAGCCCCUAGCCACGUUACAAGCCUAAUAAAGCCCACACAGAUUGGAUAAUGUUUGCUCAAUUUUUUAUAAAGCUUAAUUUUGCGAUAAGGUGAAAUGACUUUUAAUGUGUCGUAAAAACAAAAGGUUGAAAAAAAAGAAAAGAGGAAGAUAAUGUCUCGGGAAGAGGGGAUCUCCUUGCCAACUAGCCAGAAGCAUGUAAAUGAAAAUCAAACCAGUUGGGGGCCAUCCAUUUAGCCUAUCCUUUUCAUGCCCAUUACCUCUUCCAAACAGAACCCUAUGCCAAAAAAACUGGGGCAGCUUUGUGAGCCUCAUACAAAUUUUUCAUCAACCCAUGAUCCCAAGACUAGGGCAGCUUUGUGAGUCUCAUACAAAUUUUUCAUCAACCCAUGAUCCCAAGACUGUGGCAGAUUUGCAAGUUUCAUUUGAUUUGUUCACCCUAAUUUUCAUGGAUCCAUACCCCUAUGAUCAUUUUCCCAAACACUAAACUGGGGCAAAAUUUUUGGUAUAUCGUGUUUUGUCUUGACACUCACAUAUUACAUCUCUGUCAAGGAAUGUAUGAGAAAUGAUGUGCCCACAUGGUUGUCCUAGUCUUCUCCAAACCCUCCUAAACAUCUCUCAUUUUUCACCUACCAAUUCAAGCAUGUGUGCACUGAUGUCUCGAAAGAAAAAGUCAAAAUGCAAUAAUCUCAAAUUUAGAUCUCGG